rnacentral:rRNA from 2 species
AAAUUGAAGAGUUUGAUCAUGGCUCAGAUUGAACGCUGGCGGCAGGCCUAACACAUGCAAGUCGAACGGUAACAGGAAGCAGCUUGCUGCUUCGCUGACGAGUGGCGGACGGGUGAGUAAUGUCUGGGAAACUGCCUGAUGGAGGGGGAUAACUACUGGAAACGGUGGCUAAUACCGCAUAACGUCGCAAGACCAAAGAGGGGGACCUUCGGGCCUCUUGCCAUCAGAUGUGCCCAGAUGGGAUUAGCUUGUUGGUGAGGUAACGGCUCACCAAGGCGACGAUCCCUAGCUGGUCUGAGAGGAUGACCAGCCACACUGGAACUGAGACACGGUCCAGACUCCUACGGGAGGCAGCAGUGGGGAAUAUUGCACAAUGGGCGCAAGCCUGAUGCAGCCAUGCCGCGUGUAUGAAGAAGGCCUUCGGGUUGUAAAGUACUUUCAGCGGGGAGGAAGGUGUUGCGGUUAAUAACCGCAGCAAUUGACGUUACCCGCAGAAGAAGCACCGGCUAACUCCGUGCCAGCAGCCGCGGUAAUACGGAGGGUGCAAGCGUUAAUCGGA